GUUUCCUGAUUACAUAUCAGA
rnacentral:miRNA from 1 species